GCAGAAAGGACUUGAUGAGGCGUUUGGGUUAUGGAUUUGCGUUUUGAGGAUAUGGCGCAGAAGUUAUGAAGAGUUCAUUUAGUUGUUAUUGAGAUGCUCUGUAUUGCU